UCUUUAAAAUAGUGCUAGUGAUAGUUCGGAGCAGCAAGUGUUUCUUCCGUUCCUAUGUUAAUACCAGUCGUGAUCAAAACACCUCUGGAAAGAACUGACAAGCAAACAUCCCAGGGUGGCGAAUAGAGUUAAAGUCAACGGAAAUAUGUGCGCGAUAGUGUAGUGACGUUGAUUGUAUUGUAUUGUACUAACUUUAUCAAAAUAAAUUAAUUUCCGAACAAAUGGCGAUGAGACAAAUUUGGACUGAAUGAUGGAGCAGGCAAAAUUCAACCAAAAAAGCGCAUUUCGCGGAACUCUGUAUACACCAAAGAAGGCGAUAGCAGUUCCGCCAUGGGAAAAGUUAUAAAAUGAAUGUCAACGGAAGCAUGUCGUCAAACCAUGUGGAUUGCAAUUUUAAAAAGAAACGAGACCAGAUGAUGAGAUGGUGGCGAGCCACAGUAAGACCCCUUGAUCAGUGCGACUCUUCUAGUGUUGUGGGCAACGGUACUGCGAUCGGUCCGUGUUGCAGUGGAGUGAAAAUUUAUUUAGAGUACCAAAUAUGUAAGAGCGGCUGCAGUAUCAGACCAAAAUGUUUAAUGACUUUUUUAUUAGGGAAUAAAAUGAUUCGUAAAUAAAUAAAUAAAUAAAUAAAUGAAACUUAUGAAAAA